rnacentral:rRNA from 1 species
GACGAACGCUGGCGGCGUGCUUAACACAUGCAAGUCGAACGCGCCUGUCCUCUGGGUUUCUGGGGGGUGGGUGAGUGGCGAACGGGUGAGUAACACGUGGGUAACCUGCCCCCUUCUUCGGGAUAACGGUCUGAAAGGGCUGCUAAUACCGGGUAUUCACUGGUCUCCGCAUGGGGUCUGGUGGAAAGGUUUUUUUCUGGUGGGGGAUGGGCUCGCGGCCUAUCAGCUUGUUGGUGGGGUGAUGGCCCACCAAGGCUUUGACGGGUAGCCGGCCUGAGAGGGUGACCGGUCACAUUGGGACUGAGAUACGGCCCAGACUCCGACGGGAGGCAGCAGUGGGGAAUAUUGCACAAUGGGCGCAAGCCUGAUGCAGCGACGCCGCGUGAGGGAUGGAGGCCUUCGGGUUGUGAACCUCUUUCGCCCGUGGUCAAGCCGCGACGUGGGUCGUGGUGAGGGUAGUGGGUAAAGAAGCGCCGGCUAACUACGUG